rnacentral:rRNA from 1 species
CCUACGUGAGGCUGCAGUGGGGAAUAUUGGACAAUGGGCGAAAGCCUGAUCCAGCCAUGCCGCGUGUGUGAAGAAGGCCUUCGGGUUGUAAAGCACUUUCAGUGGGGAAGAAAGCCUUGGGGCUAAUACCCUCGAGGAAGGACAUCACCCACAGAAGAAGCACCGGCUAACUCCGUGCCAGGCAGCCGCGGUAAUACGGAGGGUGCGAGCGUUAAUCGGAAUUACUGGGCGUAAAGCGCGCGUAGGCGGUCUGAUAAGCCGGUUGUGAAAGCCCCGGGCUCAACCUGGGAACGGCAUCCGGAACUGUCAGGCUAGAGUGCAGGAGAGGAAGGUAGAAUUCCCGGUGUAGCGGUGAAAUGCGUAGAGAUCGGGAGGAAUACCAGUGGCGAAGGCGGCCUUCUGGACUGACACUGACGCUGAGGUGCGAAAGCGUGGGUAGCAAACAGGAUUAGAUACCCGAGUAGUC